rnacentral:rRNA from 1 species
CCCAAUGUGGAAUUCGCCCUUGCGCUACCUGGUUGAUCCUGCCAAGGAAGCACACUAAGGCCAUAGAUUAAGCCAUGCAAGUGCUAGUUCAGGCAACGAAACUGCGAACAGCUCAUUAAUACGCUCAGAACCUAAUUGGUUACGGCCCAGCAGGGUCCUAAAUGGAUAGCAGCAGAAAUUCUGGUGCUAAUACAUGCAGUCAAACCACCAAAAGCGAGGCAAGGUGAGGACAUGACCAAUAGGCGUACCAUUCGGUUGAGCGCCCUAUCAGCUAGUACGUAGUGUCUGUUACUAUGUAGGCUGUCACGGGUAACGGGCGGUUAUCGUCGGACUGCCGGAGAAGGCGCCUGAGAGACAGCGGCUAUACCCAUGGGUAGCAGCAGGCGCGAAACUUACCCACUCGCCAACGGCGGAGGUGGUAAUGGCCAGUUCCAUCGUGUCGCAAGACCGGCGGAUAGGAUCACGCCCUAUGAGCGUGGUGUAAUCAAGGAGAGGGCCAGUUCUGGUGCCAGCAGCUGCGGUAAUUCCAGCUCUCCGAGUUUGCUCCCAAUGCUACACUUAAAACGCCCGUAGUCGGAGUGCGAAGCGCGAAUAGCGCGUUCACCGUGAAUAAAUCAGGACGCUUAGGGUAGUUCACAACUGAAUGACUAAGCGCGGUAUGAAAUCUUUACCCAGACCAGGGUCAGAUCAAAGAGAGCCAUCGGGGGUAGACCUACCUCGUGGCGAGGGGCGGAAUCUAUUGACCCAUGAGGGAGGAACAAAUGCGAAGGCAUCUACCUAGAGGGUAUCUGUCGAUCAAGGGCGAGAGCCGCAGUAGCCAACCGGAUUAGAGACCCGGUAGUUGCGGCCUUAAACGAUGCCGACAGGGCCUCGUCGUAAAGGCGGGGUCCAAGGAGAAAUCAUAGUCUCUGGGCUGUGGGGGAACUACGACCGCAAGGCUGAAACUUGAAGGAAUUGACGGAAGGGCACACCAGGGGUGGAGCUUGUGGCUCAAUCUGACUCAACACGGAGAAACUUACCAGGACCAGAUAUUUUUAAUGACUGACCAGCUAAAGACUGUUCAGGAUAUGAUUUUUGGUGGUGCAUGGCCGUUGGUGGUGCGUGGAUUGAUCUGUCAUGCGUCGAUUCAGAUAACGAGCGAGACUACCACCGAUUACUUAGGUGUCAUUGCAUUAGCAAGCGUCAUCUUCUAAUCGGGACUCCCUGCGUCUAAGCAGGCGGAAGAGGGUAGCAAUAGCAGGUCCGUGAUGUCCUUUAGAUGCUCUGGGCUGCACGCGCGCUACAAUGCUAGGUGCAACGGGAAGCUAACCCGACAGGGUAUGCCACUCCCUUAGUCCCUAGCGUAGUUAGGAUCGAGGAUUGUAAUCAUCUUCGUGAAUCAGGAAUCCCUUGUAAACGUGUAUCAACAGUGCACGUUGAAUACGUCCCUGCCCUUUGUACACACCGCCCGUCGCUCCUACCGAUUGGAUGGAUCGGUGAAGCUAUUGGAGGCGUAAGCCAAAGGUAGUUGAGCCCAUCGAUUUAGAGGAAGGAGAAGUCGUAACAAGGUAACAGUAGGUGAACCUGCAGAAGGAUCAAAGGGCGAAUUCCACAGUG